rnacentral:rRNA from 1 species
GUGGGGAAUUUUGGACAAUGGGCGAAAGCCUGAUCCAGCCAUGCUGCGUGCAGGAUGAAGGCCUUCGGGUUGUAAACUGCUUUUGUACGGAACGAAAAGACUCCUUCUAAUAAAGGGGGUCCAUGACGGUACCGUAAGAAUAAGCACCGGCUAACUACGUGCCAGCAGCCGCGGUAAUACGUAGGGUGCAAGCGUUAAUCGGAAUUACUGGGCGUAACGCGUGCGCAGGCGGUUAUAUAAGACAGAUGUGAAAUCCCCGGGCUCAACCUGGGAACUGCAUUUGUGACUGUAUAGCUAGAGUACGGUAGAGGGGGAUGGAAUUCCGCGUGUAGCAGUGAAAUGCGUAGAUAUGCGGAGGAACACCGAUGGCGAAGGCAAUCCCCUGGACCUGUACUGACGCUCAUGCACGAAAGCGUGGGGAGCAAACAGGAUUAGAAACCCGAGUAGUCC